rnacentral:rRNA from 1 species
AUCGUACCCCAAACCGACACAGGUGGUCGGGUAGAGAAUACCAAGGCGCUUGAGAGAACUCGGGUGAAGGAACUAGGCAAAAUGGUACCGUAACUUCGGGAGAAGGUACGCUCUUGAUGGUGAAGUCCCUCGCGGAUGGAGCUGACGAGAGUCGCAGAUACCAGGUGGCUGCAACUGUUUAUUAAAAACACAGCACUGUGCAAAAUCGUAAGAUGACGUAUACGGUGUGACGCCUGCCCGGUGCCGGAAGGUUAAUUGAUGGGGUUAGACUUCGGUCGAAGCUCUUGAUCGAAGCCCCGGUAAACGGCGGCCGUAACUAUAACGGUCCUAAGGUAGCGAAAUUCCUUGUCGGGUAAGUUCCGACCUGCACGAAUGGCGUAAUGAUGGCCACGCUGUCUCCACCCGAGACUCAGUGAAAUUGAAAUCGCUGUGAAGAUGCAGUGUACCCGCGGCUAGACGGAAAGACCCCGUGAACCUUUACUACAGCUUGGCACUGAACAUUGACCCUACAUGUGUAGGAUAGGUGGGAGGCUUUGAAGCACGUACGCCAGUAUGUGUGGAGCCGUCCUUGAAAUACCACCCUUGUAGUGUUGAUGUUCUAACGUCGACCCCUAAUCGGGGUUGCGGACAGUGCCUGGUGGGUAGUUUGACUGGGGCGGUCUCCUCCCAAAGAGUAACGGAGGAGCACGAAGGUGGGCUAAUCACGGUUGGACAUCGUGAGGUUAGUGCAAUGGCAUAAGCCCGCUUGACUGCGAGAAUGACAAUUCGAGCAGGUGCGAAAGCAGGUCAUAGUGAUCCGGUGGUUCUGAAUGGAAGGGCCAUCGCUCAACGGAUAAAAGGUACUCCGGGGAUAACAGGCUGAUACCGCCCAAGAGUUCAUAUCGACGGCGGUGUUUGGCACCUCGAUGUCGGCUCAUCACAUCCUGGGGCUGAAGUCGGUCCCAAGGGUAUGGCUGUUCGCCAUUUAAAGUGGUACGCGAGCUGGGUUUAGAACGUCGUGAGACAGUUCGGUCCCUAUCUGCCGUGGGCGUUGGAAGAUUGAAGGGGGCUGCUCCUAGUACGAGAGGACCGGAGUGGACGAACCUCUGGUGUUCGGGUUGUGUCGCCAGACGCAUUGCCCGGUAGCUAAGUUCGGAAUCGAUAACCGCUGAAAGCAUCUAAGCGGGAAGCGAGCCCUGAGAUGAGUCUUCCCUGAUACUUUAAGUAUCCUAAAGGGUUGUCGGAGACUACGACGUUGAUAGGUCAGGUGUGUAAGUGCUGUGAGGCAUUGAGCUAACUGAUACUAAUUGCCCGUGAGGCUUAACCAUACAACACCCAAGGGGUUU